rnacentral:lncRNA from 1 species
AUUUACAUGGAGGUAGAGGUUGGUAAGCUACAAUCGAUGUUCCACAAAGUGGACUAUGAACUGGAUUAUAUUCAACACAGGCUGGAUAUGAAAUAAAGACUAAUCACCUUGACUGGGCAGGAGAGAAAAAUCCAGUUACACUCCUAAAGGAAUUAGCAGCCAUUCAGCCUUGACAUCAGAUUAUGUCCACAGUGUUCAGCCAGCAGAUGCCGACUACUAAGCAGGAGGCCAAGUGCCUCGUCUGUGUUGCUCUGCGCAAGGCUAUGACCUCCGUGCAAGAACUGCAGAGGCACAGGGACCCAGCUGUCACCACCAACUGAGGAAGAGAAUAGCGCCGCCCAGCAACUAACAUCCC